GAAUACAGUACUCACCCGCUUAUUGCUAACAAGGCACAUCCAUGAUGUACAAUGUAAACCAAAUACGUGUCGCAGGCUACGUAUACUGAAAUGGAUAGAUUAGUUCUCGGCCACGUGACUCGUUCAAGGGAGAGAUGAUGUUCAAAAUAGGUGGUAUACUUGGUAUAAGAAGAAACAUGAAGCCGCAGAAAAAUAUACUAACUGAACUCAAAGGGAAUAAAAUAUAGAAUGAAAUGAAUAAAUAUAAAAAGACAUUGAUGAGAAAUGUAUGAAAGAGCGAACGAAUAGGAUAUUUAAAAUUACAAUUUUGUUGUCUUUUGUUGAUUUUUAAUUUCGAUUCAAUUAAUUAAUAUUUAAUAACUUG